rnacentral:rRNA from 1 species
UACAGAGGAUGCAAGCGUUAUCCGGAAUGAUUGGGCGUAAAGCGUCUGUAGGUGGCUUUUUAAGUCCGCCGUCAAAUCCCAGGGCUCAACUCUGGACAGGCGGUGGAAACUACCAAGCUGGAGUACGGUAGGGGCAGGGGGAAUUUCCGGUGGAGCGGUGAAAUGCGUAGAGAUGUGGAGGAACACCGAUGGCGUAGGCAGCCUCCUGGGCCAAUUCUGACGCUCAGGCACGAAAGCGUGGGGAUCAAACAGG